GUGUCAGCCGCCGCGGUAAGACAGAGGGUGCAAACGUUGUUCGGAAUUACUGGGCGUAAAGCGCGUGUAGGCGGCUUGGCAAGUCGGGUGUGAAAGCCCCGGGCUCAACCUGGGAAGUGCACUCGAAACUGCCUCGCUUGAGUGUCGGAGAGGGAAGCGGAAUUCUCGGUGUAGAGGUGAAAUUCGUAGAUAUCGAGAGGAACACCGGUGGCGAAGGCGGCUUCCUGGACGACGACUGACGCUGAGACGCGAAAGCGUGGGGAGCAAACAGGAUUAGAUACCCCUGUAGUCC
rnacentral:rRNA from 1 species